rnacentral:lncRNA from 1 species
GGAUGAAGCUAGAGUCGAGGGGAUCACGGCCGCCGCCAGGACCUGCAAGGGAAGUCUAAAUCGAAGUUGGGGGUGCUCCGACAAGAUCCUCUAAUGCUUAAGUCAGUACUCUACUUCAAUAGAAAUGGAGCACUUGAAUGAGAUUUUAGCAGAGUUUAGAGAUAGUGCUUAGAGCUUAGAGGAGAACGUAUCUAGGGGGUCUCUUUUAUAGAUGGGAGAGCGUAAUCGAUUGACAGCGACGUCCGUAACUGCCUGGUAGUAGGUCGUUCGGGGCCACGUGGAGUUUGUUACGGAGAGUAGUGGUGUCCAUUGUCGCAAC